rnacentral:rRNA from 1 species
UACAGAGGCCUCAAGCGUUGUCCGGAAUUAUUGGGCGUAAAGAGCUCGUAGGCGGUCUGUCACGUCGGCUGUGAAAACCUGGGGCUCAACUCCGGGCCUGCAGCCGAUACGGGCAGACUAGAGUUCGGCAGGGGAGACUGGAAUUCCUGGUGUAGCGGUGAAAUGCGCAGAUAUCGGGAGGAACACCAAUGGCGAAGGCAGCUCGCUGGGACGUUACUGACGCUGAGACGCGAAAGCGUGGGGAGCAAACAGGG